CUUAUCCAGAGUGGCGGAGGGACAGGCCCGAUGAUGCCCGGCAACCGGCAGGCGGCAGCGCGUGCGAGGUGCCAAUUCCUGCGGCUGGUCAUACAGCCGAAAGAUGAGG
rnacentral:ncRNA from 1 species